CCCUUUGGAAGGAAGGCGGAAGAGAAGAUGUUGUAGCAUCCACCAAACAAACAAAAAAAACCUGAUGGUGAAUGGGGGGAGCCAAUAGAGUAAUAGAGUAGUGCUGUAAUGGUCAAGAUAAAACUUGACCAUUUUCAAGUGGAAAAAGCUCUGUAAAUAAGAUAAAAAGGAAACAAAAAGAAACAUUGGCCCUUCACAUGAAACUCUAGUUUAUAACUCAAAAGUAAGCAUGGCACUACGUGCUGGGAGCUGACAGUCUUGUAACUUAAUAAGAUACCAACAACUGAUGGAAGAGAAACAGAUGAAAAUGCGGAAGCCUGGGUGACAAAUGAAAAACAAAAACAGGGGAGUGCUAAGAAGAGGGGCCCCUGCAGAAGACAGCGGAAGAAGCCGUGUGUGGAACUGGGAGGCAGGAGGGCACAUGAAGAGGGCGCACAAAGAGGAAGCAGAAGACUGCAGCUGGGCUAAGGAAGAGAUGUGCCUUACACACAUUGAUACAAGGUUUGGAAUGCAGCAGUCCUCUCUGGCUGUGUCUUCCAGCAGGAAGAGAAGGAAUGUCCCCAGUGAGAAGGAAUGAGGUUCCCAAGACACAGCACAAUGUGACCCACAAGGCAGAGAAAAAUCUGAACACAAAUGCAGGGUAGAAAUAGUGGCAGUGUGUGCAUACUGCUGUUUGGAAGAGGGCACUGAUAUGCAGCCUGGGAAUGGCAGCAGUAGCUAGGACAUCACAUCUGCUGCCUGAAGCGUUCAAAGUAAAGUGGUUGUACUCUUUUUCUUUUAAUUAACCAUGCUUAUGAUUUGCUGAAAAACUCAGUAAGUGAUGUAUAGGAAUGAGGUGAUACUUGAACUGUCUGCUUGGCUGCACAGUGUCUUUGUUUAAUAAAGAUUAAUUUAUCCUACA
rnacentral:lncRNA from 1 species